GAAUUGACGGGGACCCGCACAAGCGGUGGAUGAUGUGGAUUAAUUCGAUGCAACGCGAAAAACCUUACCUACCCUUGACAUGGCAGGAAUCCUGAAGAGAUUUAGGAGUGCUCGCAAGAGAACCUGCACACAGGUGCUGCAUGGCUGUCGUCAGCUCGUGUCGUGAGAUGUUGGGUUAAGUCCCGCAACGAGCGCAACCCUUGUCAUUAGUUGCUACGAAAGGGCACUCUAAUGAGACUGCCGGUGACAAACCGGAGGAAGGUGGGGAUGACGUCAAGUCCUCAUGGCCCUUAUGGGUAGGGCUUCACACGUCAUACAAUGGUACAUACAGAGGGCUGCCAACCCGCGAGGGGGAGCUAAUCCCAGAAAGUGUAUCGUAGUCCGGAUUGUAGUCUGCAACUCGACUACAUGAAGUUGGAAUCGCUAGUAAUCGCGGAAUCAGCAUGUCGCGUGAAUACG
rnacentral:rRNA from 1 species